CCUACGGGAGGCAGCAGUGGGGAAUAUUGGACAAUGGGCGAAAGCCUGAUCCAGCAAUGCCGCGUGAGUGAUGAAGGCCUUCGGGUCGUAAAGCUCUUUUACCAGGGAUGAUAAUGACAGUACCUGGAGAAUAAGCUCCGGCUAACUCCGUGCCAGCAGCCGCGGUAAUACGGAGGGAGCUAGCGUUGUUCGGAAUUACUGGGCGUAAAGAGUACGUAGGCGGUUAUUCAAGUCAGAGGUGAAAGCCCGGGGCUCAGCCCCGGAACUGCCUUUGAAACUAGAUAACUAGAGUCUUGGAGAGGUUAGUGGAAUUCCGAGUGUAGAGGUGAAAUUCGUAGAUAUUCGGAAGAACACCAGUGGCGAAGGCGACUAACUGGACAAGUACUGACGCUGAGGUACGAAAGCGUGGGGAGCAAACAGGAUUAGAUACCCUGGUAGUCCACGCCGUAAACGAUGAUAACUAGUUGUUCGGUCACUUGGUGACUGAGUGACGCAGCUACGCAUUAAGUUAUCCGUCCGUCGGGUAGGUACGGUCGCGAGAGUUAAACGUAACAAAUAGAAGUUAGACGGUCGUGAGAGUUGUCCGACGGACGACGACGAGGGAGGAGG
rnacentral:rRNA from 1 species